GAUGAACGCUGGCGGCGUGCCUAAUACAUGCAAGUCGAGCGAACAGACGAGGAGCUUGCUCCUUCGACGUUAGCGGCGGACGGGUGAGUAACACGUAGGUAACCUACCUAUAAGACUGGGAUAACUUCGGGAAACCGGAGCUAAUACCGGAUAAUAUUUCGAACCGCAUGGUUCGAUAGUGAAAGAUGGCUUUGCUAUCACUUAUAGAUGGACCUGCGCCGUAUUAGCUAGUUGGUAAGGUAACGGCUUACCAAGGCAACGAUACGUAGCCGACCUGAGAGGGUGAUCGGCCACACUGGAACUGAGACACGGUCCAGACUCCUACGGGAGGCAGCAGUAGGGAAUCUUCCGCAAUGGGCGAAAGCCUGACGGAGCAACGCCGCGUGAGUGAUGAAGGUCUUCAGAUCGUAAAACUCUGUUAUUAGGGAAGAACAAACGUGUAAGUAACUGUGCACGUCUUGACGGUACCUAAUCAGAAAGCCACGGCUAACUACGUG
rnacentral:rRNA from 1 species